AUUGAACGCUGGCGGCAGGCCUAACACAUGCAAGUCGAGCGAGCGGGGGACGGGUGAGUAAUGUAUGGGGCCUGCCCGAUAGAGGGGGAUCCCUACUGGAAACGGUAGCUACAACCGCCUACUAUCGGAGAACCCAUAUGUGCUUAGCUAGUAGGGGAGGUAAUGGCUAUCAUAGGCGGCGAUCCCUAGCUGGUCUGAGAGGAUGAUCAGCCCAACUGGGACUGAGACACGGCCCAGACGCCUACGGAGGCAGCAGUGGGGAAUAUUGGACAAUGGGCGCAAGCCUGAUGCCGCCAUGCAGCGUGUAUGAAGAAGGCCCUAGGGGUGUAAAGUACUUGCAGUCGGGAGGCGUGACCGACAGAAGAAGCACCGGCUAACUCCGUGGCAGCGGCCGCGGUAAUUC
rnacentral:rRNA from 1 species